AUAUUUCGACUUAGUUUUUAUCAGUCUUGUGUUUCCGCUGAGCUAGCGUCUAGGAGAUUUGAGGCAUUCCACGCUGAUCUAGUCCGUUUCGCGAGAAACUUCCACGUGCUGUACCGUGGGAAUUACCGGUGUUUCUUUGGCGCGUGGAAGGGCUGGUGGCUGCAGCAUCAUUAUUAUUUUAAAGUUUGCUCGGGCAACACGCGCAACUCCGCUGCUCUCCCAUAACAAAGACCUCCUCCUUCGAAUUGUUUUGCGCUUCGGUGAUCGACGUUCGAACCAUGUUUGCUGAGUCGUUUCUAUCAGAGGUUCCUUUCCAGACUUCCCUGCCCAAGCGAAAGAGGGAUUCCGAAG